rnacentral:sRNA from 1 species
AUUUUAUGACAUGAACACAUAGCAAGUCUUAGAUUUAGGUUUUAACCCUUAGCCUAGUGUUACCUGCAUUUGUGUUUUCCAAGUCUGUUGAUUGCUGAUGCGGGCUUGAGGGGUUUUGCAUUUCAUGCUUUUUAUUGAUUCUAAUGUCUUUCUCACUUUAGCCAUGUUUCCUGAGAGACUGGGAGUUGCAGGUGCACUUCAAAAUCCAUGGACAAGGAAAGAAGAAUCUGCAUGGGGAUGGCUUGGCAAUCUGGUACACAAAGGAUCGGAUGCAGCCAGGGCCUGUGUUUGGAAACAUGGACAAAUUUGUGGGGCUGGGAGUAUUUGUAGACACCUACCCCAAUGAGGAGAAGCAGCAAGAGCGGGUAUUCCCCUACAUCUCAGCCAUGGUGAACAACGGCUCCCUGAGCUAUGAUCAUGAGCGGGAUGGGCGGCCUACAGAGCUGGGAGGCUGCACGGCCAUUGUCCGCAAUCUUCAUUACGACACCUUCCUGGUGAUUCGCUAUGUCAAGAGGCAUUUGACGAUAAUGAUGGAUAUUGAUGGCAAGCAUGAGUGGAGGGACUGCAUU